rnacentral:rRNA from 1 species
AACCUUUACAAUGCACGCAAGUGUGAUAAGGGGAUUCUGAGUGCUCAUGCAUUGCAUGGGCUUUUGCCAAAGGUAAAUACUUUGGCGAAUAAGGGGUGGGUAAGACGGGUGCCAGCCGCCGCGGUAACACCUGCGCCCCGAGUGGGAACCAGCUUUAUUUGGUCUAAAGCGUCCGUAGCCGGACUUGCAAAUUCUCUGUGAAAUCGGUCAGCUUAACUGAUCGGCGUGCAGGAAACACUACAAGUCUUGGGACUGGGAGAGGUCAGAAGUAUGUCAGGGGUAGCGGUAAAAUGUUAUAAUCCCUGAUGGACUACCUAUGGCGAAGGCAUCUGACCAGAACAGAUCCGACGGUGAGGGACGAAAGCUAGGGGAGCGAUCCGG